GUAGACGUGGAGUGUGUGCGCCAAAGGACGACCAGGGUACAUUGUGUACCUUUCAAGAAGAACGCGGCCCAGUGCUAAAGUUUAUUCAGUGAUACUGUGCUUUUCUCUCUUGCCGGAGGUAGAUAUAUCCUCGUGUUUCCUUGCGCGCGAGAAUCGAGCAGGGGAGGGGAGGGGAACAUUGGAGUGGAGGAAAGGGGGGUGAAAUGCUUUUAUGAGUCAGCUCAGUGUUUUUCUGUGCCGCCUCGGAGCAGAGAAGGAAGAACUGUUACUUCUGUGGCCGGGCCGACGUGCCUCUCUGACUCUGACUGUGAAAACGUGUGCCACUAUCAUCGGUCAUCACCAAAUGGCAAAUGGCUGUAGGGAGACAAACCAGUGAGUUGGAAUUCCAUACGUAAAGAGGAGUGAAAUUCUCAACGACGCCCACCACGGAGUUGUGAGCUAGGCUAGAGGGGGAUGUGAAAUUGUAAUAAUACAUACUACGUUAGCUUGCGUCUCCGAGAUUUGUUGUUCGCCCCUGCUUGCUUGGAUACGAGAGACUACCGGAUUCAGAUAGGGUUGUUGGGUUUUUUUCUUCUCUUCUCGCCUCUGUGUUGUGUGCUGGAAGUGGUAUAUAUACUCUUACAUUACAUCGAGUUUGUACCCGCUCGCUUGGAUACGUUCUACAGCAAACAGUAGGAACACUAGCGGUGCUGACGCUGUAAUCUCUCUCGUAACACGAUUUGUUGCAUAAUAUCGACAUCUUUUUCGUCACAUGUAAAGGUUGGUAAGACGAUACUGUUGUGAAUUUUCGCUGUUCGGAUUGGUGCUGACUGCGUUUGUUGAGGUGUGUGUGUGUGUGUUUGUGUGUGUGUGUUGUCAUUCGUCGGAUUCUAUCUUGCUGUUUCGAGCACGGAUAGCGUCUUCUGGAGAUUUCUCCUUGCGGGACUAGAUGGAGAAUAAUCAAGACUUUGACUUGGAGUUACUUGACCAAGAGCUUGACAAGAUAGGAGGAACUGUAAGUACAGAUAUGUUUUUAUCAUUACGUCGUGUUAGUCUGUAUGUGUGUGUGAGAGUGUCUGAGUGUGUGUGUAUGUGUAUGUCGUAUGUGUUUGUUUGUAUGUGUGUGUGUUUGUAUAUAUGUGUGAACCG